AAUGGCGGAGACGCUGAUCCAGCUAUCCCGCGUGCAGGAUGAAGGACCUCUGGUUUGUAAACUGCUUUAGACUGGGGCGAAAAAGUAGGAUUUAUCCUACAUUGACGGUACCAGUAAAAUAAGCACCGGCUAACUCCGUGCCAGCAGCCGCGGUAAUACGGAGGGUGCAAGCGUUAUCCGGAAUCACUGGGUAUAAAGGGUGCGUAGGCGGCUUGCUAAGUCAGGAGUGAAAGGCCACGGCUUAACCGUGGGAUUGCUUUUGAUACUGGCGAGCUUGGAUUAGGACGAGGUUGGCGGAAUGUGGCAAGUAGCGGUGAAAUGCAUAGAUAUGCCAUAGAAUACCGAUUGCGAAGGCAGCUGACUAGACCUAUAUUGACGCUGAGGCACGAAAGCGUGGGGAGCGAA
rnacentral:rRNA from 1 species